AUGGGCAUCAACAAGAGAAACAGUCAAGAGUUGUGUUCAGCAAUUGGUCGUCUCAGUAGCCUGGAGUCACUGUCACUGCAAUCAGACGGAGAGACAGGUUUAUCAGGCCACUUGGAUGGCCUGUCCUCACCUCCAGAAAACCUGCAGAGCCUGAAGUUGAUAGGCAACCUGGUUAAACUGCCAGAGUGGAUCAAGGGCCUCAAAAAUCUCAUGAAGCUGAAGCUAGAGGGGUCGAGGAUAUCGGAGCAUGAUGCAGCCGUACAAGUCCUUGGGAACCUACCAAACCUGGCCACCCUGCGUCUAUUGCAUGACUCAUUUGUUGGUGAAGAGGUUCGUUUCAGUUUCAGUUUGUGUCCGGAGGCGUUCCCGAGCCUGAAGGUGCUGGAGCUGAAUUGCAUAAGAAACCUCAAGUCGGUGGGAUUUGAAGGAGCAGCCCCUAAGCUUGAGUUGCUGCAGUAUUCACGUGGGAUGGGAAGUCCCAGUGUUGGGUUGUUCUCUGGGUUACCAUAUCUCCUCCUAAGCCUCAAGGAAUUUAUGCUGCAUUGGUCGGACUGGCGUGAUACUGAAUUCGUGGAGUACCUGCGAGGCCAGCUAGCAGAGAACCAAAACGUGCCCGUUCUGAAGAGGUAG
rnacentral:rRNA from 1 species